CAGUCGCCGCGGUAAUACGUAGGGUACGAGCGUUUAUCGGAAUUACUGGGCGUAAAGCGUGCGCAGGCGGUUGUGUAAGACAGGUGUGAAAUCCCCGGGCUUAACCUGGGAACUGCGCUUGUGACUGCACAGCUAGAGUAUGGCAGAGGGGGGUGGAAUUCCACGUGUAGCAGUGAAAUGCGUAGAGAUGUGGAGGAACACCGAUGGCGAAGGCAGCCCCCUGGGCCAAUACUGACGCUCAUGCACGAAAGCGUGGGGAGCAAACAGGAUUAGAUACCCGCGUAGUCCCUGUCUCUUAUAC
rnacentral:rRNA from 1 species